rnacentral:rRNA from 1 species
UACGUAGGUGGCAAGCGUUGUUCGGAAUUAUUGGGCGUAAAGGGCGCGUAGGCGGUUUGUUAAGUCGGUUGUGAAAGCCCGGGGCUCAACCCCCGGGAGAGUCGACCGAUACUGGCAGACUAGAGUACGGAAGAGGUAACUGGAAUUCCCGGUGUAGCGGUGAAAUGCGUAGAUAUCUGGAAGAACACCGGUGGCGAAGGCGGUCAACUGGCCCUGAACU